UGAGGAAUAUUGGGCAAUGCCCGCAAGGGUGAUCCAGCAACGCCGCGUGGAGGAUGAAUGUCGUAAGAUUGUAAACUCCUGUUAGAGGGGAAGAAUAGUACCGGUUGGACCGGUAUAUGACUGUACCCUCAGAGAAAGCCCCGGCUAACUACGUGCCAGCAGCCGCGGUAAUACGUAGGGGGCAAGCGUUGUCCGGAUUUACUGGGUGUAAAGGGCGCGCAGGCGGGAUAAAAAGUCAGUGGUGAAAUCCUACAGCUUAACUGUAGAACUGCCUUUGAUACUUUUAUUCUUGAGUUCGGGAGAGAGAGACGGAAUUCCAGGUGUAGUGGUGAAAUACGUAGAUAUCUGGAAGAACACCAGUUGCGAAGGCGGUCUCUUGGUCCGACACUGACGCUGAGGCGCGAAAGCGUGGGGAGCAAACA
rnacentral:rRNA from 1 species